CUCCGUGUUAAAGCGAGGACACGCAGGGUGUGCGAGAAUCAAAAGGACUUGCACUAACAUCUCCUAGCUCACAACAGGCAACUUGUCGACUCUUGUCAGACCGUAUAGUCACAAACAUGGCCACAUGGCUGCAUGACAACAUAUAGAACAAGAGUGAAUCUGUGUUGAAACGUCUAUAUACAAAGUAUUUGGAAAGUCUACAAUACAGUUUGCCUCAUUCAUUUGCUUGUUGGAUAUUCCAGAGAAUCUCUCAGAAGAUGAAGUUGUCUAAUUCUCUUUUUCAGCAUUGCACCAGCAAGCAGCAGCAAACAUAUUCCAAGUGACAUUGAAGUAAGACAGAUACACAGUGUACAGCUGAUGAGCAAUGUGAGCUAACAUUGAAUCAUUUAACUACAUUGUGUUGUUUGUUGCCAUGACAACUAAUUAAUCUUAGAACCUUGCUUAUGUUACAAUGCUUUACAUUUCUGCUUGUUUUGUUGUCUUGCUGGCAUAGUAUUAGUGUAACCAAUGGUUCAGGGGGGUUAGAAUUGAUGAACACCAGAGUUACGGAUGUGUCUCAGUACAAAUUAUAGGAUAUUGAU